CUUGUGUUUCUGUUCCUGUGGAGUGCAGCUGAAAUGACCGCUACUGCUCCUUCACAGUAUAUUUACAUGAGCUUCCUGUGGACAUCAGCACCAUUUAAAAUUAAGGCUGGAACACAGAUGUGGGGCUGGAAGUGGAGCAGCCCCUUUUAGCCAUGAGGCCCAAAGCCACAUGCUAAGGAUGGUGAAGCAGGGGAUAGAAAGAGCCUGUGUCUUUGCUGACUUCCUUAAGCCACGGCACCAGCCUGGGCCUGCCCUACUCUGGACAUCUAAAUGUGUAAGGAGAAAUAAACUUCAUUCGUUUUAUUACCACUGUUCUUGAGUUUUCAAUACAGGCAGCUGAAUGCGCCCCUAAGGGAUAGAUACCUAGUAAACCACAAGGGAAAAGACAUCCCAGAGUAAUGGGGAGAAGAUAAGCUGAGCCUGCCAAUGGGGUGGAGCACCAGAUAUCCUGUCUUCUAUUUCCAUUUCAAGUUUGUUCUUGUAACCCAAAGAAUACCAGUAAACUUCUUUUAGAGAAUUGUUAUGGAAAUCGGGUGAUAAAAUCUCUGUCUUCUUUUAAAAU
ensembl:lncRNA novel transcript, antisense to IQCK